UACGUAGGGUGCAAGCGUUAUCCGGAAUUAUUGGGCGUAAAGAGCUCGUAGGCGGUUUGUCGCGUCUGCUGUGAAAACUGGGGGCUCAACUCCCAGCCUGCAGUGGGUACGGGCAGACUAGAGUGCGGUAGGGGAGAUUGGAAUUCCUGGUGUAGCGGUGGAAUGCGCAGAUAUCAGGAGGAACACCGGUGGCGAAGGCGGGUCUCUGGGCCGAUACUGACGCUGAGGAGCGAAAGCGUGGGGAGCAAACAGG
rnacentral:rRNA from 1 species